rnacentral:rRNA from 1 species
CCUACGGUAGGCAGCAGUGGGGAAUUUUGGACAAUGGACGCAAGUCUGAUCCAGCCAUGCCGCGUGCGGGAAGAAGGCCUUCGGGUUGUAAACCGCUUUUGUCAGGGAAGAAAAGGUUCUGGUUAAUACCUGGGACUCAUGACGGUACCUGAAGAAUAAGCACCGGCUAACUACGUGCCAGCAGCCGCGGUAAUACGUAGGGUGCAAGCGUUAAUCGGAAUUACUGGGCGUAAAGCGUGCGCAGGCGGUUAUGCAAGACAGAGGUGAAAUCCCCGGGCUCAACCUGGGAACUGCCUUUGUGACUGCAUAGCUAGAGUACGGUAGAGGGGGAUGGAAUUCCGCGUGUAGCAGUGAAAUGCGUAGAUAUGCGGAGGAACACCGAUGGCGAAGGCAAUCCCCUGGACCUGUACUGACGCUCAUGCACGAAAGCGUGGGGAGCAAACAGGAUUAGAUACCCUGGUAGUCCGCGCCCUAACGAUGUCAACUGGUUGUUGGGAGGGUUUCUUCUCAGUACGUAGCUAACGCGUGAGUUGACCGCCUGGGGAGUACGGCGCAAGGUUGAACUCAAGGAUUGACGG